UUCCAAUUCAUCAUAGAUCGGGUCCGCUCGAGGCUUGCUGGAUGGAAGGGCAGACUGAUGAACAUGGCUGUUAGGCGGGUGCUGGUACAUGCUGUGUUGACAGCCCUGCCAGUUUUUUCUAUGACAGUCCUCAAAGUGCCAAAGAAAAUACUCAAGGAGGUGGACAAAACUUGGCAGCAAUUCCUUUGGGCAAAUGAUGAAAACAUAACUGGCGCCAAAUGCAAACUGGCCUGGGACAAAGUAUGCCUUCCCGUGGCCAGGGGGAUCGGCUUACUGGAUCUUAAACGGUUCAAUACGGCUCUUUGGAUGAGAUAG
rnacentral:rRNA from 1 species